GAGAAAGGGAGAAAGAGAUUGUGUGUGUGAGGGAGAGAGAGAGAGAGAUUAAACGUGUGUAUAUUUGUGCAGUGAUCUUGGUGGAAUGUGUAUUUCUGUGUGUGUGUUUAUGCAGGUGAUCUCUGUGGUGUGUAUCAUCUCAGCAAUAGUGAUAUUUCCCUUUGCCACUCCAUCCCCCCUGUGGGAAUAAGCCACAGUUUCUCUUACACAAGGAGAGGUGCGGAAAUGAGGAGGAGGAAGAGAGACAUGAGGAAGAGCCUUAGAGGAAUGAGGAGGCGAGGCAACAGGAGGAAGAGCGGAGAGACAAUAUUUGCAGGUAUGCAGAAGAGCAUCUCUGAACACACAACACGUCGAACCCUGAAGCAGACGGGCUACAGUAGCAGAAGACCACACCGGGUGCCACUCCUGUCACCUAGUGAAGUGGCCGGUUCCCUUUGAUGCUCAUCCCCUGGUGGACAACACCCAGCCAGGAGAAACCUGUGUGCCCCAGGAGGCGGAGUCAACCCCUGUCACUCACUCCACCCACACCAAGGACACUGCCCUAACCCCCUGGGGACAUCCCUGCUUCCCUGGCUGAACCCUGGGAAUCUCUGAUGGCUGUGCAGGCAGAAGUGGGCAUGGCUAUAAAGUCCUGUACAGAGAGUAUGGCAAGUCCCACUGUCAUAGCUCCAGCGACACAGGAGUGGAGGGAUUUAUUGCCAUCUGCACUCCUCUGUGCAGUGACAUUGGAAUGGACAGCGGGAACUCAAAGGAGUUGAUGGGCCGGGAUAUUUCUACGGACACUACCCCUGACAACGCUAUUCUUCAUUUUGUGUCUGAGAGGUGGCAUAGCAAAGAUCUGGCAGAGAGCGGGCUCUCAAGGAAAUCUCAGCCCCCUGUCGGAACUUCAAAGGGGUCCCACUUGAGAUAAAAGAGGAAACCAACCCAUGGCUGUUUUAUGAGCCCUGGCAUCCUCACUCUCCUAGCCAGUGGUUUUUCUAACCCUCCAAAGCAAGGUAAAGAGAGCAUGGAUGCAGCCCCGGCUUCCCAUACUCUGACCUCCCGACCUCCCAGUCAUCAUACCC